rnacentral:rRNA from 1 species
CGGAGGGUGCAAGCGUUAAUCGGAAUUACUGGGCGUAAAGCGCACGCAGGCGGUCUGUUAAGUCAGAUGUGAAAUCCCCGGGCUUAACCUGGGAACUGCAUUUGAAACUGGCAGGCUUGAGUCUCGUAGAGGGGGGUAGAAUUCCAGGUGUAGCGGUGAAAUGCGUAGAGAUCUGGAGGAAUACCGGUGGCGAAGGCGGCCCCCUGGACGAAGACUGACGCUCAGGUGCGAAAGCGUGGGGAGCAA